rnacentral:misc_RNA from 1 species
UCACUCAUUAUUCCAUUGACAACAUUUUCAGAUGACAUCCCAGCAAUCGGUGAGCUUGUAAGCAAUGAUGACCUCUCAAAUGGCUCUUCUUCACAUGAAUUUCCCGAGGAAGACAACCAGUCCAAGUCAACAAAGUUUGAACAAUUAAACGUAUCUUCAGAGAAGUAAAUAUGAUCACUUCCCAGGUACAGCUCUCUUUCCACAUCCCCAAAGAGAUGUCUGCG